rnacentral:rRNA from 1 species
AAUCAACGCUGGCGGCGUGCCUCAGACAUGCAAGUCGAACGCGAAAGUCCCCUUCGGGGGAGUGAUUAGAGUGGCGAACGGGUGAGUAACACGUUGGUGACCUGCCCCGAGGAGAGGGAUAACUCCUUGAAAGAGGAGCUAAUACCUCAGAUGACUGGACGGUUAGAGGGUCCAGCCUAAAGCUCCGGUGUCUCGGGGAGGGGCCUGCGGGCUAUCAGCUAGUU